GGACGAACGCUGGCGGCGUGCUUAACACAUGCAAGUCGAACGAUGAAGCUGGAGCUUGCUCCGGCGGAUUAGUGGCGAACGGGUGAGUAACACGUGAGCAAUCUGCCCUUGACUCUGGGAUAACUGCGGGAAACUGUAGCUAAUACCGGAUACGACACCUUCGGGCAUCCGAUGGGUGUGGAAAGAAUUUCGGUCAAGGAUGAGCUCGCGGCCUAUCAGCUAGUUGGUGAGGUAAUGGCUCACCAAGGCGACGACGGGUAGCCGGCCUGAGAGGGUGACCGGCCACACUGGGACUGAGACACGGCCCAGACUCCUACGGGAGGCAGCAGUGGGGAAUAUUGCACAAUGGGCGCAAGCCUGAUGCAGCAACGCCGCGUGAGGGACGAAGGCCUUCGGGUUGUAAACCUCUUUUAGCAGGGAAGAAGCGAAAGUGACGGUACCUGCAGAAAAAGCACCGGCUAACUACGUGCCAGCAGCCGCGGUAAUACGUAGGGUGCAAGCGUUGUCCGGAAUUAUUGGGCGUAAAGAGCUCGUAGGCGGUUUGUCGCGUCUGCUGUGAAAAUCCGGGGCUCAACCUCGGACUUGCAGUGGGUACGGGCAGGCUAGAGUGCGGUAGGGGAGACGGGAAUUCCUGGUGUAGCGGUGGAAUGCGCAGAUAUCAGGAGGAACACCGAUGGCGAAGGCACGUCUCUGGGCCGUAACUGACGCUGAGGAGCGAAAAGCGUGGGGAGCGAACAGGAUUAGAUACCCUGGUAGUCCACGCCGUAAACGGUGGGUGCUAGCUGUGGGCCACAUUCCACGUGGUCCGUGACGAAGUUAACACAUUAAGCACCCCGCCUGGGGAGUACGGCCGCAAGGCUAAAACUCAAAGGAAUUGACGGGGGCCCGCACAAGCGGCGGAGCAUGCGGAUUAAUUCGAUGCAACGCGAAGAACCUUACCAAGGCUUGACAUAUAGAGGAAAAGUGCAGAAAUGUACUCCCCGCAAGGUCUCUAUACAGGUGGUGCAUGGUUGUCGUCAGCUCGUGUCGUGAGAUGUUGGGUUAAGUCCCGCAACGAGCGCAACCCUCGUCCUAUGUUGCCAGCACGUAAUGGUGGGAACUCAUGGGAUACUGCCGGGGUCAACUCGGAGGAAGGUGGGGAUGACGUCAAAUCAUCAUGCCCCUUAUGUCUUGGGCUUCACGCAUGCUACAAUGGCCGGUACAGAGGGCUGCAAUACCGUAAGGUGGAGCGAAUCCCAAAAAGCCGGUCUCAGUUCGGAUUGAGGUCUGCAACUCGACCUCAUGAAGUCGGAGUCGCUAGUAAUCGUAGAUCAGCAACGCUACGGUGAAUACGUUCCCGGGCCUUGUACACACCGCCCGUCAAGUCACGAAAGUCGGUAACACCCGAAGCCGGUGGCCUAACCGUAAGGAGGGAGCCGUCGAAGGUGGGAUUGGUGAUUGGGAC
rnacentral:rRNA from 1 species